AUUGAACGCUGGCGGCAUGCCUUACACAUGCAAGUCGAACGCGAAAGGGGGCAACCCCGAGUAGAGUGGCGAACGGGUGAGUAAUGCAUCGGAACGUACCCUAUAGUGGGGGACAACCUCGAGAAAUCGAGGCUAAUACCGCAUACGACCCACGGGUGAAAGCGGGGGACCGCAAGGCCUCGCGCUACUGGAGCGGCCGAUGUCCGAUUAGCUAGUUGGUGGGGUAAAAGCCCACCAAGGCAACGAUCGGUAGCUGGUCUGAGAGGACGACCAGCCACACUGGGACUGCGACACGGCCCAGACUCCUACGGGAGGCAGCAGUGGGGAAUUUUGGACAAUGGGGGCAACCCUGAUCCAGCCAUGCCGCGUGCGGGAAGAAGGCCUUCGGGUUGUAAACCGCUUUCGGCCGGAACGAAAUCGCCGGGGACAACACCCCCGGUGGAUGACGGUACCGGAAGAAGAAGCACCGGCUAACUACGUGCCAGCAGCCGCCGUAAGAC
rnacentral:rRNA from 1 species